rnacentral:ncRNA from 1 species
CAUCAUCAAGGUUCCGCCCUAUAUUGGAGCGGCGAAGAGGGAAUCACGUGAGAAUCGUGAGCUGUCGCGCAACUGUAAUCCCCAUAAAUCGGUGGGCAAAACGCCAUUGGACAAAGCGGUCUGAGAAGGUGCCUGCCGACAGGGGUAAGCCAGGAGACCUGCCUCGACUGAU